AUGGAAGGGCUCCUCCAUUGGGAUUUCAACCCCGGCCUCAAGGUCGAGGAACAGGUUCAUCGACGGUUCAAAUCUUCGGUCCAUUUCUCCCCUUCAUCUACCUCCAAGGAGUUUUUCUUGGUGGUCACCUUCUCUUCUGCCUCCUUUCCCUUAUCUUGUGACUCGGUUGGCUUGGCACUCCAAUGUUGCAUUGGAGGGAAUGUGUCUGGAUUCAAUGUUGUUCAUAUUGGAUCACAAAGCUUUCGGUUUUCUGUGGCCUCAAACAAGGUGGGUCACUUUAUCUCUGCCCUAAGGGAUAGAGUUUGGCCAGAUUUCGUGUGCCAUUUUGGACUGUUUAAACAGCAUUGGAUUGCUCCUUUUAAUGGUUCAUAUGGAUGGAGCACGUCACAUGAAAUCCAGGAAAUUGGUUCACGAUUACCCAAGGCUGUUCGCCAUACUCUUGGCUUUCUCGAGCAAAGUGCGACCAAGGAUGAUUCAUCUCGGCAGGAGUUGGCAAAAUUUGGUUUCUCCAAGCACAUCUCAACUAACUUGCUAUGUUCUUUUGAUGAUGUAUCCACUCAUCGGGAUGAUCAUGGUCUUGGUCAUGUUCAUGAGGAUCUUCCUUCGAGUGCAACUCUGAACAAGGAAACCUUACAAUUUGGUAGCUUGGAAUUUCCGCUAUCCCUGGAGAAUCAUAAUUUCCUUACCAAAAAAAUCUUUUGGCAAGAAUCGCAAUGCACGCAAUUGGUGCAACAUUCCCUCACACAUUUUGGAGGAGAUCUUGGACUUAAGGUAGGCUAA
rnacentral:rRNA from 1 species